UACACAGUCGAACAGAAGCCUCCUGAGUUGGUUAUUGCCCUCUUUUUUACUCCCUUUCAUACCAUAAAUGAAGUUGUCACCAUCCGAUCUGAUGUGAAUUGAGAGGGCAUGGAACUCGUCGAGAAGGAAACGUUCCAAUACUGAACUUCUCACUCGAUUUGCACUAUGACGUCCAAAUAAGAGUUCAGCUGUCAAGAUGGUUUCUUUUGCAUGGCCAA
rnacentral:lncRNA from 1 species